rnacentral:rRNA from 1 species
UACGGAGGGUGCAAGCGUUAUCCGGAUUUACUGGGUUUAAAGGGUGCGUAGGUGGGCAGAUAAGUCAGUGGUGAAAUCUCCGGGCUUAACUCGGAAACUGCCAUUGAUACUAUUUGUCUUGAAUAUCCUGGAGGUGAGCGGAAUAUGUCAUGUAGCGGUGAAAUGCUUAGAUAUGACAUAGAACACCCAUUGCGAAGGCAGCUCGACUACGGGAUUAUUGACACUGAGGCACGAAAGCGUGGGGAUCAAACAGG